GCCCUCAUAGCUCAGCAGGCAGAGCGCAUCCAUGGUAAGGAUGAGGUCACCAGUUCGACCCUGGUUGAGGGCUCCA
rnacentral:tRNA from 1 species